rnacentral:rRNA from 1 species
CCUACGGGAGGCAGCAGUGAGGAAUAUUGGUCAAUGGGCGCGAGCCUGAACCAGCGAAGUAGCGUGAAGGAUGACUGCCCUACGGGUUGUAAACUUCUUUUAUAAAGGAAUAAAGUGAGGCACGUGUGCCAUUUUGUCUGUACUUUAUGAAUAAGGAUCGGCUAACUCCGUGCCAGCAGCCGCGGUAAUACGGAGGAUCCGAGCGUUAUCCGGAUUUAUUGGGUUUAAAGGGAGCGUAGACGGGGGGUUAAGUCAGUUGUGAAAGGUUGCGGCUCAACCGUAAAACUGCAAUUGAGACUGGCAGCCUUGAGUGCAGUUGAGGUAGGCGGAAUUCGUGGUGUAGCGGUGAAAUGCUUAGAUAUCACGAAGAACGCCGAUUGCGAAGGCAGCCUACUAAACUGCCACUGACAUUGAUGCUCGAAAGUGUGGGUAGCAAACAGGAUUAGAUACCCCAGUAGUC